rnacentral:tRNA from 1 species
ACAUUGAUGGUUCAGUGGUAGAAUUCUCACCUUCUGUGCUGAAGACCCAGGUUCAAUUCCUGGCCAGUGCA